GUCCAGUUGGAGACAGGAUCGUGUUGCAAAUUGCAGUCACAACAAGCGCUGCAUGAUAAAACUUAAGAAAUCGAUCGAAGCGCCUUACUUGAGUAACAUCUUCCGAUAUGUGAGAGCACAGACAAGGUACCUCAUCGAUAAUACGAGCCUAGCUCUAGUUUCUCCACUGGAGUUUUCAGAUCUGUGUAUGUCUGGCGUUACGUUAUAAUAUUAUAAAGUGACGAUAGAGGAUCACAGGUAUUAUAAUCGCGAAAUGUGUCAAAGUAAAUGAUCAUCUUACGUGAGAAUUGUCUGAAAUUCAUGGAAAUUCAUAGAAAUAUAUCCACAGAAUAUUCAAAACAAUACAGGCUUACGGCUCCAUCGCAGUACCAUCGAGGUUUUGUUUUCAUAGCUUCGAGAGCCGCUGUUAUAAAAGAUUAGAGGGAGAAAGAGGAAUCGAAUACAUGUGAGAAACAAACGAAAGAAAAUACGCGAGAAGAGAAAGGUGGAAAACAGUAACGGAACAGGAAGAGGGAAAAACUGUGACAGAGGUGGCGGAUGGGUAGGAUGUUGCACACGCAAGUAUGAACGAGAUGAUCUUCGCUUAUAACGGGACCUUAUAUUCCGAUAGGUCUGAGUGGCGUUAGAAAAAUUAUUGAAGAAAAUUAUAACAUUAUCGUGGAACGUAUUGCACCUACCAUUGGUCUCGUACAAGUUAAGGCGAAGAAAAAGAAGAGAAAGAGAAGAAAUGAAAAUAUUACAUGUUAGGACAGAUAAGGACACCAUGAUCUUCCGCUGCCUUCUCGACGAGCUAAAUGUAAAUUUGGACGAUCGUCCGGGGACACAUGUUGUCAAAUAUUCUAGGAGUGCCCCUUGAGGCCUGUUUCUCUUCAGGCUUGACUUUGGAUUCAUCUCUCGACCGCUCGUUUCCUUCCGCUCCCGAAGAAGUUUCGCGACAGCUAUCCUCGACUACAGUGACAGCUCUUUUGACCGGGUAAGAUGUUUCUCCUGGCUAUCCUCAGGAUAUUUGAAAAUCCGCCGCCUUUGAGUCGCCAGCUACAUCCACAAUAAUAAGUUAUACUUCAACUUUGUGCUUUAAAUAAUAAGGCAAGUAGGAUGAUAGAGUAAGUGGAUGGUCGGUGUUUGAUAUGCAUAACUUGAAUAAUUGAGUACGAUAGGAUCUUAUCUUAGAGAUUAUGGAAAGAAGAUAUUAUAAUGGGAACUGGGUAACAGAGAAGGUGUACCUUUCUAGAAUUUUAAUCGUAUUUCAUAUUAAUCAAGAAUUUUUCCUCAAAAGGUUAUCAUCGGCUGAACGCGUUAUUCUCGGUAAUUAAACGUAAUUGAUUUUAUAAAUUGAAAUAUGAAGACACAGAGAUAUUGACAUUAGGAAUUAGUUAUUUAACAGUGUAGCAGGAGAAAGACUUGGGUAUAUUGUUAAAUAUAAUACUACACAUUUUUCCUCAUAUGCAAUGCGAUUAUUAAUAUUUGUUUCCUAUAAAAAAUCAAAAGUACGUAUAUUUUUUGUAUCUGAGGUGAAAAUUGGAGGAAAUUUGAAGGAUAAGGAGACGAUGAUUUUCUAAAUAUUUCAUUUUCAACUCGUCGUUAUCUUAUUGUACUGUUAAUGAGUUAAGACAACUUUUGUGUUUGAAAAAAGGACCUUCGAGAGAUAUUUGAUAGAAUCUUCUUUAUUUAACAUUUAUGAUCAUAUUAAGAUAUAAGUAGGUACUAUCGUAUGAUCUUCUACUUUGUAGAAGAAUUAUAAAGGUCGAUUUCAAUUUACGAGAACAGAAGGUAUAGAACGCAUAGCGUGUAAUUUCACAUCAAACCAAGUCAAGUUUGGUCGUGCAAUUCUCGAAAGCAACGUGUCCGUCGAAUAUUACGACAGCUCGACGUACCAUCUCCUGAAGUAACGCUGCGAAUACCAACAACCACUUUGUUUCCUUUCCAUAAGAGUUCAGCUUUGCUUUUAUACACGGCACUUUGACCGACUUUGGCUAUGACUUUUUUUAUUAUAUUCUCUUUAACUAUACAAUACGUCGUCAAGUUUAAAGAAUUGCAGCUAUCAAAAUGUGAAUGAACCAUAACUUUGUUGGAACCUUACAAUAUAUGUAUACAUAAU